GACGAACGCUGGCGGCGUGCUUAACACAUGCAAGUCGAACGGAAAGGCCCUGCUUUUGUGGGGUGCUCGAGUGGCGAACGGGUGAGUAACACGUGAGUAACCUGCCCUUGACUUUGGGAUAACUUCAGGAAACUGGGGCUAAUACCGGAUAGGAGCUCCUGCUGCAUGGUGGGGGUUGGAAAGUUUCGGCGGGUGGGGAUGGACUCGCGGCUUAUCAGCUUGUUGGUGGGGUAGUGGCUUACCAAGGCUUUGACGGGUAGCCGGCCUGAGAGGGUGACCGGCCACAUUGGGACUGAGAUACGGCCCAGACUCCUACGGGAGGCAGCAGUGGGGAAUAUUGCACAAUGGGCGGGAGCCUGAUGCAGCAACGCCGCGUGCGGGAUGACGGCCUUCGGGUUGUAAACCGCUUUCGCCUGUGACGAAGCGUGAGUGACGGUAAUGGGUAAAGAAGCACCGGCUAACUACGUG
rnacentral:rRNA from 1 species